GCACAUGGAAUAUGGAGAUGGAGAUCACCAUGGUGAACAGGUUCUAUGGAGAUGGAGAUCACCAUAUGAAAACGGGCCAUACUGUGUCACAACUGUGUGAAUGCUAUUCUGUUUAUGUUUUACUUUCUGCAUGCUGUGAUGUUAGAAGUAGAACAAUCCCUCACAAAGUUUAAGUUAGUAUGCCCUCCCAACUAAAACUUGCACUGUCCCAUGUCUUGUACAAUUAGUGGUGGGUCUAUGAAAUUAGGGUACCACUAGUUUUCCUUGACUAGACGGGUUUGUGUCGGACACUUACACGCAUAAGGGUUGGUUUGCUUAACAAGGUUAUCUUAACGGUUAAGGACCUUGGGGUAUAAAGGUUGGGCGUCGAGACAUAGAGAUGUCACCCAACAACAGGAGUCAUAUGUGAUAUGAUUAGCAAAAGUUGCUUACCGAUCUACCUUGUUUGCUAGCGGUGAUGCUAAAGCUCACUAGUAGACUUGUUAGUUGUGGAUCCUGAAUCACUAAGUUUCAAUAGAGGGAUAUUGAUUUUAGUGGGAGUAGAUUCUGUAAAAAUAGUUUAAUGUGAUUUGCUCUAUCUUGGAUACGUUUGUCUUAGUGUAUUUUGCAUUACUUUGUUGUAGAUUAAAUGGCACCUAGCAGCACUACACCGUUUGCUUUGCGUUCGGUCCUUGAGAAGGACAAGUUGAAUGGAACAAAUUACUCGGAUUGGAUCCGUAACCUGAGAAUUGUUCUCAGUUCU
rnacentral:lncRNA from 1 species